GCCCAAUAAACUGGUAGAUCAAAGGCCUGUUGAGCGCUCAUGCCCGGUGUGAUUUUAACAAUUGACUCCAAAUGCGUUGACAAGAAAAUAAGUAAAACUGUUAUUGAAUGUGAUUGGUUGAUAAAAUCAACGUACUAUAGGCUACAUUUUGUCUGCGAUGUCAUCUCGGUGGAAGCGGACAUUAAAUGAAGUGAUUUCACACAAUUAAUUUAACAUUUAACAACGUGCUGAAAUGAUUUUGGAGCAGUGAUAUGUUUGACAAAUGUAAGCUAAUGGUCACAUAGAAUACAAGACCGCAGAAUCACAUUAUGAUUAAAGCAGAAACGGUUCGACUUGAACCAGCAGGUAAGAAUCUGUUUUGAAAUUAUAUCUUGGGAGGUUGGAUUGGCGUUGGAGACCCGAUUGGCGGCCAUUUUGAUUCUUGUUUCAUGAUUUUUUUUAUAUUAUAACGAUUUUGCCAAGAGUAGACAUAAACGCGGGCACAGACUAGAAAAAAUCUUUUUACACUUUUGUUCAGUGAUGAUAUGACUCAUUCCACCUUACAGUUACAGCAAUUACCGUAUUGAGAAUUUACCGUUCAAGGACUCCAUUUUGGCAUUGAAUUGGAAUUUGAAGAAAAACUGUUUCAAUAUUGGAUGUAUAUGCAAAUCACCCAGGAAAAGAUCAUGUAACAAAAGAAAUUAUAAAAGUAAAAAAAUGGAAGAAGAAAUGGCUGGAAAAAAUGAUGAUAGAGCAGCUUUUUCUUGUUAGCCACCUCGGAAGAUCAAGACAGCUGGAAAGGGCUAUUGAUAUUGUGGAAGUGUUUUCUUACAGAGGUUGCUUAUCAGACAAAGGCUAUUUAACUACAUCAGAAAGAUAAAAACAGUUGGAAAUGGCUAUUCAUAUUGUGGAAACUUUUCUCACAGAGCUUGAUAAUCAGGCAAAAUGCUGGAACACCCUUGAAAGAGUAUUUGGUGUAUGAUAACAACAAGAGAACCCAAGCAUCAAUUUAUUUUAUACUUCUGGGAAAGAAUGCAUUUGACCCAAUUUUUAAAUAUUUAUUUUUUGUUAUUAAUGUUAAAUUUUCUUCCAAAACACAAUUAGAUUUUAAUUCUCUUCAAAUAUGUAUGUAUAAUAUAGCAAGUAAACUGACAUAUAAAUCACUUAGAAUUUGGUCGGAAAUCAUAAAGUAUUUAAUAGGCAUUACUAGAAACCAAAUGUAGAUCAAAUACACCCAGAAUUACAAAAAAGCUUGACCUACAUUAAGGUGACUUUCCCUUGCUUAUGAAAUGAAAUACGUUUUAAUAUCCUGCUUUUCUGUGUUCUUAGAGUGAUUCUACCCUACCCUUAUAUCAAAUAUUUCAACUGUCAAGGGUUCUUUAAAGGGUACCCAGGGGGGCCGAAUGGUUAACACGCACACAUUUGAUCAGAAGGUCUGUCAUUGAUUCAAAUAAUUCAAUUUUCAAGGGUUCUUCAAAGUGUACGCAGUUGGGUUGGUUUCAAUUCUGGGGGGUGGGGGUGGAUGGCCGAAUGGUUAGCACGUGCAUGCUGUAUCAUACGGCCUCCUGUCAUUGAGUCAACUGGCAUGGUUUCGAAUCCCCGGUUGUAGACAAGGAGUGGGGUCGCCUGUCCAAUCUUGUGGGUUUUCUCCGGGACCUCCGGUUUCCUCCCACUGCUAAAGACCCCUACGCGCUAGCGAAUUAUUGAAAUAAAAUUAAACCAUAUGUUAGUCCCAAAAUGAUCUAGUUUGUGUCGAGUAGACGUUAAACCCCAUUUCUCUCUGUCUCUCUCUCUUUUGAUUCUGGGCUUGUACCCAAUUAUCCCUUGCCAUAUCCAACACUGAAAAGUGGGAACUAUGCCGGAAAAUCCAGUUGAAAUUUCGCGGCCAACGCCUUAUGCUCACUGAACCACUGUGGCUUAUGACUUGUGAUUGUAUAUAAAUCUUUUGUACAUAUGAUAUUUUUUUAUUUCAAUCCUGUAAUCUUGAUGCUUUGCUUCUUUUAUUUAUAAAAUAUUCAUUUUGUUUGGGGUUUUUUUAAUGAGGAAAAGGCUCUACAUCAUUUUAUUACUCCUGCAAAAUAGAGCAAUUUUCUUUUGUUAGUUUUCUGUGUAUGCUAGUUAUUUCUAGAUGCCUCACAAAUCACUUGUAGUGUGAUUUUGUAGCAUUUUUCAGUUUUUGAAAUUGUUUCAAUUUAGUGCAUAAUUAAUCUUAUUAGUGCUUAGUUUGGAUGUUAUUAAAUUUAGAUAUAUUUGAAUUAUAUAUUUUGGGGUAUGGGGUAGGGAUACUGUGUACAUAUCUUUAUAUUCUCAGUUCUUGUUUUGGGGUAAAGAACAAUUUAAAUAGCUAUUUUAUAUUUUGUGAUGGGUAAAGUGUGUGGGGCAAAAAACAAUUUAAAUAGCUAUUUUAUAUUUUGUGAUGGGUAAAGUG